UCUCUGGUGACCUAGUGGUAGGAUUUGGUGCUCUCACCACUGUAGCCUGGGUUCACUUCCUGGCCAGAGAA
rnacentral:tRNA from 1 species